CGUACACUCCUACGGGAGGCAGCAGUGGGGAAUAUUAGACAAUGGGCGCAAGCCUGAUCCAGCCAUGCCGCGUGAGUGAUGAAGGCCCUAGGGUUGUAAAGCUCUUUCACCGGUGAAGAUAAUGACGGUAACCGGAGAAGAAGCCCCGGCUAACUUCGUGCCAGCAGCCGCGGUAAUACGAAGGGGGCUAGCGUUGUUCGGAUUUACUGGGCGUAAAGCGCACGUAGGCGGACUAUUAAGUCAGGGGUGAAAUCCCGGGGCUCAACCCCGGAACUGCCUUUGAUACUGGUAGUCUUGAGUUCGAGAGAGGUGAGUGGAAUUCCGAGUGUAGAGGUGAAAUUCGUAGAUAUUCGGAGGAACACCAGUGGCGAAGGCGGCUCACUGGCUCGAUACUGACGCUGAGGUGCGAAAGCGUGGGGAGCAAACAGGAUUAGAAACCCCAGUAGUCCCAUGA
rnacentral:rRNA from 1 species